CUCCUCCCGCCUCCUGCGCCCUGCACCAUCUCGGCACCGCGCCGCCCUCCGGGUCUCUGUGUCGCGCACCCGCCGGCCUGUUUUUCCUGCGGAGCUGGGCGGGCGCACUCGCAGCUACUUUGUGGCAUGCUCGGGGCCCGGCCCUGCCCGCGACAAGAGCCGGUCGGAAGCCGACUUUGGGCCCCGGGCGUUUCCCGGAGCGUCUGCGGCGGUGCAGCGGCCUUAGUGCGGAGCGCAGGUAGAAACCUACAAACCAUGUAAGCCAGGAUAAUCUGAACUUCCCAAGGACCUUGUAGUCUACAGUAUAAUGGAGCCAGUUUGUCUGGUGUGAGUUGUAGCAGCGGUGGUAGGACUGUAGGGACAGGGUAGGGGGUAUUGUCUUAUACACUUCACUGGGUGCUGGGUCCUCUAGUGGGUACCUGAUGUGGAUCUUACUAUUAAUAUCUUUGAAUUCUGGUCUAUGUAAAUGUUUUAUAUUUUCCAAAAAAUAGUUUAAUUGAAAGGGAAAAAGCAAACUCUAAAGUUGAAUAUAAAUCAGUUAACAUGGCAAGUUGACAGCUAAUUUACACAGAGAAGAUAAUUAUUUUAAAAAAGCUCCUCUGAGUAUAUCCUUAGGAAAAAACUGUUCCAGUGGUUCAGUUCUAAUGGAAAGGUUCCUGAACAGAACACGCCCGGCACACAAGGGGGUUGUGAGAACAGAGUUUAGGCAAGGUCUUGUGACACAAAGGUGUGGGGAUUUGUUGUCAACAUGAUCAAGGGAGGGGAAUUUCAAUGCUUUGUUUACAAUACAUUUUUUCCUACCCUGGGGAGGUCUGAUAACUUAACAUCUGUGCUGGUCAAAUUGGCAGCUUCCUGGAAUCACUGUGGAGGAGAGGGGGCCGGGGCCUGGGGUCCCCACACUAGCUAUGUGUUAGGAACUAGAAAAGUUUGAGAGAAGCCAUUAAAAGGUGAGCAUCCAGCUUUUAGUUCUGGGUGUUUGUGGUAUGUGGGUCAUAAUUAGGUACAAAGAGAUAGAUGAGAGACAUACAAUUCUAUGUUAUUUAAGUGGUGGAAAUGCUAAGAGCAAUUGGAAAAGAAAUCUUUAUUUUUCAGAUUCCUGACACAAUCUCAAUUUUCAAAUGUAAAAUGGGGAGAAGCAAUAAGGAGUGGGUAGGCCCAAUACUGCCCCUUUAAGGGCCUUUAUGGCUAUCCCUGAUUAUUUGUUUGUCCAUUCUGUUCCCUACUAGAAUGUAAGCUUCCAAGGACAGGCAUAUUGAAUGACAGUGAAGAGGGUUGUGGUGAGGAUUAAGGAACAUGUAAAGGCCUCAGAGUUGGCCAGGGACAUUGCUCAACUGAGUGUUAAGACUUGAGCUCUCACAUAGCCCAUUAGAGUAUCUAGCAGGUUUUGAACUUUGGCAUUAACUCUUGCCAGAUGUAAAUUUUUAAAAAAUAAAGCCAAUUGUACCAUUUGGUGUCCUUAUGGCUUUCUUUAUGUUUCCCUUUUCGAACUUUUCAGGUUCAUUAAACGCCCAUACAUAAAUAUGCAGAUAUACUUAUUUAACCCUUAUUUCACUUUUCAACUACUAACAAAAUUGAGAAGUAAAGUUGUGAAACUAGAAUUGAGUCACUGGAGAGUUAGAAAAUGUCUACAGGAAGGAUAAGGUCUCAUUUCUUGUCAAAUAGUACAAGUAGUUUUGAUAUGAAGCUUUAUAGCUCCCAUAUGUAAAAUUUGAAGGAAAUGAAGUCAUAGAAAUUUUCAAAAUUAGUUAGUAUGGUCUUGGGCUUUUUUGAUAUUUGAGACUCUUUCCAUCACCAUCUGAAACAGAUGGAGUACAUGAUGGGCAAAAGAUUAUUAGCUCAAAAAGCUCACCAGAUGUUUUAGCAAUUCAUUUACCAAGAUGCCUAAUGAAAAAUGCUGGUGGUUUUAACAUGACUGCAAAUUCUUUGAGAUUCUUACUCCAGGAGAUGGAGUUUAAUUCCUCACCUCGAGUGGCUUGGACUUGCUUCUAGAGUAUGGCAGAUUCUACAUUACUCUCAUCACAAUAACCACCAAAGUUGUAAUAAGUCAUAAACUGUUUUUGUGGUCUGUUUUUAUUGAGUAAGUGUUCAAGGGAAGAGACUGACUUAGGUGGGGCUUGCCUGUCCAUUCCCUACGGAGUUCAAGGCUUCCCCAUAGGCCAGGCAAGUGGCAUAUUUGGGAUCUGAACCCAGGUCUUAAAGUCCAUCUGAUUGACUCUUAUGUCCUAAGAACUAUGGGUCUUAAUUCAUUAAGUAAAUUAUGUUAAACAAGGGUAUCUAAUUGCCCGUUACUUAAUAGCUUUUCUUGUAUAUUGAAAUUAAAGUUAGGCAUUUAAAUUACCCUACAUUCCAGAGUGAAAUGACUAAAAAAUUAUUGUACAUUGAAUCCAGUGACUUAAGUGUACUGCUGAAGAAUUUGUGGGAAUUAUAACUGAAAAACUGGGAGAUCACCAAGAUGCCCAACAAUAGGAUUUCAGAAAAAAAUUGUACAACCAUGCUGAGAAAUGCCUUGCAGCCAUUAAAAGGAGUGAAUGAGAUCUGUAUGCACUGAUAUAGAAGUACUAAAUUGAACUUUAAAAAUAGUAAAAAAGAAAAAAAAGAUAAAAACAUAUAUGGUGUGACACUUUAAAAACAAGAUUGAUUUUGAAAACAAAAUGAGCUCAUUUAUUUUACUUAAAAAUUAAAUACAAUUAGAUAAGACAGUCAAUUGAAAUUACUGCUUAAUGCUUCUAAAUCAAUUCAGCUAAAGAGAACUGUAUAAGGAGAUAGAUGAUCUUAGGUGGAUUAGGAGACUCCUUCUAUUGAAUUAAGUUCUAAAUGAAAAUAAAUACAACCUUGAGAAUCCAUUCCAGGCCCUAUUCCCUGACUUUGCUACAUGGUAUGUAUCAGUCAAGAAAGAGCUUAAUCACUUACUUUCAUCUGUUGUAAAAUGAAGACUGCUUUUGACCUCUUUCAUUGGGGUGACAGAAGAAAGUACAUUAAGUAACGAUGAUACCACAAUGGCAUUUUCAGCAUUUUUAAUGAAGAAAUGUUUCUAAAAUUGAGCCAAGGGAAACUGUUGCUCUUCUGCAUAUUUUAUUUAUAAAUUUUAAACAAAUACAGACUUUGAAGCAUAGUGAAGCACAGUGGUCAAGAUAUUUCAAAGAAUGACCCUCAAUUUGGGUUUGUCUGCUGUUUUCUCAUGAAUACAGAGGUUAUGUGCUUUUAUUCCAUCAUAUCAGAGGGCAAUGAUAGCCGUAUGACUUCCUACUAGUGAUAACCUGGGAUUGCUUGGUUAAGGUGUUGCUUACCGAAUUUCUGGGUGGUAAUGUUAAUAUUUUGCCAUACUCUAGAAGCAAGUCACUAGUCGAAGCCACUCAAGGAGUGAGGAAUUAAACUCCAUUUCCUGGAUUAAGGAAUUUCAAAGAAUUUGCAGUCAUAUGUUAAAACCACCAUAGUAACUAAUACAUUUUGGGGGAGAUACUUUGUCUAUGCAGACUUCCUCCUUCUUAAAGUUUUACCCAGAAAUGUCAGUAUUCAGCAGUGGAUCUUGCAGCAGCUAUUACUGUGCUGUUUUAAUGGUGAUGACCUAUUGCCUUGGAAUUCUACUGCAAGGAAGAUUUGUUCUUUGAUAAUUUAUAUCAGUAUGGACUCAGGAAUGUAUUUGGAUUGUAAUCCAGUACUGUCAUUUAUAUUGUUGCUCAUGUUGUUCCAGCUUUGGCCAUUGGGAGCUCUUUGCAAAUUGGCCCUUAUUAUGACAUUUUUUUUCCUUUUUUUACUUUACUACCUAGUUUCUGGUGCUUCAACAUACCUCAGGUUCAUCUUGUGUUUUCCAUGCCCUAGCCCUAGAAUCAGACAUUUUUCUAAGGAGCCCUGGUUCUUUUUAUUGGAAAAUAGUAUUUAGUAACCAAGAUCUGGCCGUGAAAUGUGCUUGUUGCUACUGGGGUGUCACUGCUCCUAGGCCCUCACA